rnacentral:rRNA from 1 species
UACGGGGGGGGCAAGCGUUGUUCGGAAUUACUGGGCGUAAAGCGCACGUAGGCGGCUUUGUAAGUCAGAGGUGAAAGCCCGGAGCUUAACUCCGGAAUUGCCUUUGAGACUGCAUCGCUUGAAUCCAGGAGAGGUGAGUGGAAUUCCGAGUGUAGAGGUGAAAUUCGUAGAUAUCCGGAAGAACACCAGUGGCGAAGGCGGCUCACUGGACUGGUAUUGACGCUGAGGUGCGAAAGCGUGGGGAGCAAACAGG